rnacentral:rRNA from 1 species
UACGUAGGGGGCUAGCGUUGUCCGGAAUCAUUGGGCGUAAAGCGCGUGUAGGCGGUCCGGUAAGUCCGCUGUGAAAGUCGGGGGCUCAACCCUCGGAUGCCGGUGGAUACUGUCGGGCUUGAGUACGGAAGAGGCGAGUGGAAUUCCUGGUGUAGCGGUGAAAUGCGCAGAUAUCAGGAGGAACACCAAUUGCGAAGGCAGCUCGCUGGGACGUUACUGACACUCAGGGACGAAGGCCAGGGGAGCAAACGGG